rnacentral:misc_RNA from 1 species
UUUGCUAAAUUCAAAGGUGAACAAACUCCGGACAAAACAUUAUCGCCGUUAUUUUUAAUCGUCAACCGAAGUUACAUUUGAACUUUUUGUAAUACCACCAGUCGAUACAAAUAGACGAACGUGCUCUCUAGGACAAUCAUAGCGAGUCAUAGAGUCGAAUAGCGAGCGUAGAGUUGAACAGUAGCAUUGAGCGAGCGACGAUUACGAUCGG